UACGUAGGGCGCGAGCGUUGUCCGGAAUUAUUGGGCGUAAAGAGCUCGUAGGCGGCCUGUCGCGUCGGUUGUGAAAGCCCGGGGCUCAACCCCGAGUCUGCAGUCGAUACGGGCAGGCUAGAGUUCGGUAGGGGAGAUCGGAAUUCCUGGUGUAGCGGUGAAAUGCGCAGAUAUCAGGAGGAACACCGGUGGCGAAGGCGGAUCUCUGGGCCGAUACUGACGCUGAGGAGCGAAAGCGUGGGGAGCGAACAGG
rnacentral:rRNA from 1 species